CUGAACAAAAAGAAUUCAAACAGGCUAUCCAGCCUUCCUACUGCCCCUGAAGUCAAGCCAAAGGUCUUGAUUUUCAAGUGAGAACGUGGACUUUGGAGGCAAACUGUUGGGGAUUAUGAAAACAGAACUUAAAUUGCUUCCACAUCUGGAAACCAAACCCAGCGGCCAGCCCCAAGAAUUCCAGGCAUGUUAGCCUGGAGAGGCUGCAGGUCAGGGGAGGUGUUUCCUGUUGGCUGAGUCCCUGGCAUCCACCUCCCCGAAUCCAUAGGCAAGAAGUGACUGCGAGCAGCCAGGUGGAACCACACCAGAGAGGAAGCAAAGCCGGGAAGGCUCAUCGGACCCAGAGAUGGCCACGCACCCCCACACCUCUCCCCAGGAACGCCUUCACGUCCACACCCCUCGACCGCGGGGGCCAGGAGAUGUAGGUUCGAUCCCUGGUCCAGGAAGAUCCCACA